UACGAAGGGUGCUAGCGUUGUUCGGAAUCAUUGGGCGUAAAGGGUGCGUAGGCGGUUUGGUAAGUCAAUUGUGAAAGCCCCGGGCUUAACCCGGGAACAGCAAUCGAAACUGCUUUACUGGAGUUUGGUGGGGGAUAGUGGAAUUUCUAGUGUAGGGGUGAAAUCCGUAGAUAUUAGAAAGAACACCAGUGGCGAAGGCGACUAUCUACACCAAUACUGACGCUGAGGCACGAAAGCGUGGGGAGCAAACAGGAUUAGAAACCCGAGUAGU
rnacentral:rRNA from 1 species